AACGCUAGCUACAGGCUUAACACAUGCAAGUCGAGGGGCAGCAUGGUCUUAGCUUGCUAAGGCCGAUGGCGACCGGCGCACGGGUGAGUAACACGUAUCCAACCUGCCGUCUACUCUUGGACAGCCUUCUGAAAGGAAGAUUAAUACAAGAUGGCAUCAUGAGUCCGCAUGUUUACAUGAUUAAAGGUAUUCCGGUAGACGAUGGGGAUGCGUUCCAUUAGAUAGUAGGCGGGGUAACGGCCCACCUAGUCUUCGAUGGAUAGGGGUUCUGAGAGGAAGGUCCCCCACAUUGGAACUGAGACACGGUCCAAACUCCUACGGGAGGCAGCAGUGAGGAAUAUUGGUCAAUGGGCGAGAGCCUGAACCAGCCAAGUAGCGUGAAGGAUGACUGCCCUAUGGGUUGUAAACUUCUUUUAUAAAGGAAUAAAGUCGGGUAUGGAUACCCGUUUGCAUGUACUUUAUGAAUGAGGAUCGGCUAACUCCGUGCCUGCAGCCGCGGUAAUACGGAGGAUCCGAGCGUUAUCCGGAUUUAUUGGGUUUAAAGGGAGCGUAGAUGGAUGUUUAAGUCAGUUGUGAAAGUUUGCGGCUCAACCGUAAAAUUGCAGUUGAUACUGGAUAUCUUGAGUGCAGUUGAGGCAGGCGGAAUUCGUGGUGUAGCGGUGAAAUGCUUAGAUAUCACGAAGAACUCCGAUUGCGAAGGCAGCCUGCUAAGCUGCAACUGACAUUGAGGCUCGAAAGUGUGGGUAUCAAACAGGAUUAGAUACCCUGGUAGUCCACACGGUAAACGAUGAAUACUCGCUGUUUGCGAUAUACUGCAAGCGGCCAAGCGAAAGCGUUAAGUAUUCCACCUGGGGAGUACGCCGGCAACGGUGAAACUCAAAGGAAUUGACGGGGGCCCGCACAAGCGGAGGAACAUGUGGUUUAAUUCGAUGAUACGCGAGGAACCUUACCCGGGCUUAAAUUGCAGAUGAAUUACGGUGAAAGCCGUAAGCCGCAAGGCAUCUGUGAAGGUGCUGCAUGGUUGUCGUCAGCUCGUGCCGUGAGGUGUCGGCUUAAGUGCCAUAACGAGCGCAACCCUUGUUGUCAGUUACUAACAGGUUCCGCUGAGGACUCUGACAAGACUGCCAUCGUAAGAUGUGAGGAAGGUGGGGAUGACGUCAAAUCAGCACGGCCCUUACGUCCGGGGCUACACACGUGUUACAAUGGGGGGUACAGAGGGCCGCUACCACGCGAGUGGAUGCCAAUCCCCAAAACCUCUCUCAGUUCGGACUGGAGUCUGCAACCCGACUCCACGAAGCUGGAUUCGCUAGUAAUCGCGCAUCAGCCACGGCGCGGUGAAUACGUUCCCGGGCCUUGUACACACCGCCCGUCAAGCCAUGGGAGCCGGGGGUACCUGAAGUGCGUAACCGCGAGGAGCGCCCUAGGGUAAAACUGGUGACUGGGGC
rnacentral:rRNA from 1 species